ensembl:lncRNA
CAGGAAACUGCAUAUGAAAUUCAACCAUUUUAAUCUAGUGUUUAAUACUUGACUAAGCCUCUGUGAUGAAUAAAGCAUUUUGAUGCUGAUUUACAUGAUCAGCAUAAAAGACAAUCACUUUAAUGUCCGUCUUCUGGAUCACUAGAUGCUGUGCAUCUGAACGAACUAAAAUAAAUAAAUAAAGAUUACGUAACCCAAAACCUAGUGUACACUCAGGCAAACUGGAACAAUGAUGAUAACAUGAUUUGGUAGUCAACAAAAUCUUGCAGUAGCUUUUAUUUAUCUUUGUGUAUGUGCAAUUUUGCAUAAAACAUAAAGACAAUGCGUGCAAGAGGUGGGAUUGCACCUUCAUUUGUUUGCAAGCCAAAGGCAUAUGGAAAACGGCACAUGACAAGCUUAGGGCACAUAGAUGCGAGUGAAAGUGAAAAUUAUUUGUCUUACUGCAACGUGAAAAGAAAGAUAAGAUCUGCAAGGAACUGAGAGUGUGGAGGAGGCAGUCUGGCUGAGAACCAAUAAUUCUUGCUGCUGAAUAGGCAACUAAGUGUUAUAUAAAAUCACACACAUGCACGCACUUGCACAAGGACGCACGCACACACACAAAGCAGUUAAACAGCGCUGCCUACGUGCACAUGCUCUGAGUUUCCUCCUGUCUCGUUUUCUCCAGCUUUGGAUGUGCACUCACACAUGGGUAAACGGUGUUACAGUGGUAAAGAUUUAGCAGCUUGAGUAAUUUACACCACUAUUCUUUUGAGAAAGUAAAUCUACAAGCCAAUUAAAACCAUUUUGCACUGGAGGUUUUAGGCAAUGUUACGCAAUUUGACAAGUACUUUGUGUGAAGCAUACUGAUGCACUAACCCCCUCCAAGAGAGUGAAGUUAAACUGCUUACUUUCUUGCUGUGUUGGCAUCAGUUAAAGAAGAUUAAGUCCAACUGAAACUGCUUUUUCGCUUCAGAGCAAAGUGAAUCCUGUACACUACAUAUUAAGAAUUAAGGUGUACAAAGGAUGUUUAAAAUUGUUGUAGAAGUGGUGCAUAAUCAUGCUGGGAGUGUGGCUGCUUUGAGGUGUACAGGUGUACUGAUGCACAAAGCUCUAUCUGAUAGCUGGCUGCCAGAACUAGAUUUUUUAAUGGUGUUUUUGCCUUUUUAGAUAAUUUUUCAUGGAGUCAUUUGACAGAUAACAUAAUAUGGCUUGCUGUGUGAUUUAUUAGGGACAUGUGAGAUUCAGUUUCGGUGAGUGAAACUGUGGCAUUUUAAGACUUUAGGCCAGGGGUCGGCAACCCUAGGCACGCGUACCAGCUGUGGCACGCGAAGGGUUAACUGAUGGCACGACCAUACCUGCACUGGCCAUCAGGCAUACCGGGCAUUUACUCGGUGGGCCGAUGGUGAUUUUUUGUUUUUAUGGGCCGAUGAUUUUUUUUUUUUUUUUUUGUAACAGUAUAAACAAUGAAAGGUGGUGGAUUGGCCAGAUGCUGGCCGGUGUGUAAAAAUAACUCAGUUGUUUGGUGGUGGCUAUGGCGGAGCUUCCACAGAUUCAGUAACAUUAGCAAGUGGUGGAGGCUGGCAGGUGGAUGAGAGAAAGGGGAGGCAGGAGGAGGAGCGACCCGAGGCGGGGCGGUCCGAGUGUCAGUUGAACUGAACUUCAGGUAAGAAGUUAUGACCUGCAGUCUAUCUGGGUCAGAUAUAAACCAAGUUUAGGUGCUCAUAGUUCAGUCUGUCCUGGUCCUGGCCCCAAUUGGGGCAGUCCUUUCUCCAGUGUCCAUGCUCACCGCAGGUGAAACCUGCAUCUUCUUCUGUGUUUUGUCCAUUCUGAGGUGCCUUUUGACCUCAGUUGCUCCUCCUGUCUCUGGCACGCCCUUUCUUCUGCUGCCCGAUCAUCCGUGUUGGUCCAUCACUGUCCUGUACAGUGUUAAUGCAGAGUUAUCAAGGUCAGCAUUCUUUUUCUCGGCCUUACUUUUCAUUCGGGCUUAAUGGGCGUCUCGUCACAGCUCUGUCAGCUGAAGCUGUCUGUAAAUCUCCCCCGUGUAGUGAAACGGGCCUUGGAUUUAACGCUCUCCGUCUCUGCUGCAUGAGAUCGCUUUCCUGUAGCACUGUUGACAUUUUUAGAUUGUUGUUAUGGGUCCAGCUGCUGCAGCAUUUGGUCAGGGUCAGGGUCAGAGAUGGUAGAGGGGAGAGCAGGAGUCCAGGUCAGCUUCGGCUUUCAGGACCGGCAAAGCAGCCUGUAAUUAAACAUAAAGAGAAAAAACAAAAACAAAACAAAAACAGACGAACAGGAAAAUGAUGUUGUAUUGGCUGUGUUAUUCAGAGAGGGGAGAAACACCGGGCCAGGCCCUGUGUCAGCCUUCUCUCCCCCUUUUUUGUUUUUCCUCACAAUAUAAUCAACUCAUAACCCACCAAGUUGACAGGACAACACAGGUAGAUAUUAAAAUUCGUAAGAUCACGUUUAAAAGCACAAAAAAGGAAUUUUCCUUCCUUCAGUAAUCACUUGUAUGAUUCAAUCAGCAGAAAACAUCUCACCAUUUGACUCUUAACCACUAAAUUUGUUGUUUCAUCACUGGUUGGUCAUACCAGUGUCGUUCUUUUUGAAGUUGUUGUCCUGCAACCCAGAGAGUUUAUUUGUUAGUAGUGGAUAAACUUCAGCAUUUGAUAACAAAACUAUUAAGUUUUCCCUGUUUUAACACUAAUGAGAGAUAUAGGCGCAUGUAUAGUGUGUGCUGUAGUGCAAGCUGUUCUUCAUUGCAUGUAUGUGUAUUAGUAGCUUGCAUGCAAGGCCUCUGGGCCUGUCUCACCCAAUAAAGCAUUUUCUCAACAGUUGCCUUUCUUUCGCGUGUGUUAAGAAAGGCAAAUGUGCUUGUAGCAGUUGUGAGAUUAUUAUGCUGUCAUAUAUUACAUUAUACCUAUAAUCAAAAUGAGUGAACCAUGAUACUGCUGUAGGCCACAUCAUACUUCUGAGUUAAAAGAAUGUGAAAAUCAUUAGAUUUAUUAGAUAGGUUUGUAUUAUCCUAUACUGCUGAUUCACUGCUGAUUUACUGUGAGUGAGUUACACUGUUUCAUGACAUUUCAUACUGCCGAGUUAUGAAGAGAAUAUUGUAUUCAGAGAGCAGGGGUCUCUCUCUCUUUUUUUCCCUCUUUGUGAUAGUAAAAGAACAGAGCACAUGCCACGGGAGCGUCACCCCACCUUUGGUGGAAGCAGAAAAACAGGGAGCCAAGGUCAUAACUCAGGCUCACUAAGAGUUAGAAAGAAUAUGAAUACUUAGUUUGUGGCUGUGGCGCAUUUUGUAUGGCUUCUUUUCUUUGUUUAGUAGCUUUCUGCCUUCACCUGAGGGUGUGCCCUAAGCAUGUGACUUCAGGUCUCCAUAAUUGGAGUUUAUUUAAAGAUAAAUAAGAUGAUUUCAUUUAUUGCUCGCGGAUCAUGCACUAGACGGUAUAUUGCAGUAUUAGCCUGCUUCAACACUUAAACAAAACAUCACUCUUUGUUUUAUUAUUAUUAUUAUUAUUAUUAUUAUUAUUAUUAUUAUUAUAAAUUCUCCUUUCUCAAAAACAGAAAAUGAAAUUGUAGUUGUUCUUGGUUGAGAAACACAAAACCUCCCUUUUUUCUUUUUCAAAACAAGAAACUAAGUUUGAACUUUUCUGGCUUGUCACCUAAAACAAAACAGAUAACCCAGCUCUCAGCUGGCUCUGAACAGAAGUUACAGUACUCAUCACUCAAGCAACAUUUCAAAAAACAAAAGAAACAAAAACAAAACUUAGCACACUACACAGAGAACAACAACAAUACACAACUGAAGAUGUUGUUCUUGUUUGUUCUCCUUGAAUUUUAGAAUAAAGUUAUUACAUCUGCAUUAGUAAAUCAUAUGCCUAAUCAUUAUGUGCCACUGUGAUCCACAAGUAUGAUCACAAAUUUAUUCAUUUUUCAACCCAAC